rnacentral:rRNA from 1 species
GACGAACGCGGCGGCGUGCUUAACACAUGCAAGUCGAACGAAGAGCGAUGGAAGCUUGCUUCUAUCAAUCUUAGUGGCGAACGGGUGAGUAACGCGUAAUCAACCUGCCCUUCAGAGGGGGACAACAGUUGGAAACGACUGCUAAUACCGCAUACGAUCUAAUCUCGGCAUCGAGGAUGGAUGAAAGGUGGCCUCUACAUGUAAGCUAUCACUGAAGGAGGGGAUUGCGUCUGAUUAGCUAGUUGGAGGGGUAACGGCCCACCAAGGCGAUGAUCAGUAGCCGGUCUGAGAGGAUGAACGGCCACAUUGGGACUGAGACACGGCCCAGACUCCUACGGGAGGCAGCAGUGGGGAAUCUUCCGCAAUGGACGAAAGUCUGACGGAGCAACGCCGCGUGAGUGAUGACGGCCUUCGGGUUGUAAAGCUCUGUUAAUCGGGACGAAAGGCC